UGCUCAAUUCUCUGUAGCCUUGUUUGUUUCCGAUAAGUUGUUGCAAAUGGUAGCAUUCGAUUGUGCAGCCAGCAGUUGGAGGGAAGAUUCUACAUUCCAGGAAAUGGAGGCCUUUGAAGCUGCGAAGAUGGACAGCCUUCGCACCGGAAGGAAUUAUGAGGGUCAAGACAGCAGCCUCUGGAGCCAAACACCAACAUCCACAAUCCUAGCUCCAGCUUCCUGGCUCUGUGCACUUAUGAAGGUCAACUGUUCAUCCCUGUGAAUCAGUCUCUUCAUUUAAAGAACUGGGGCAAAGACAACAUCCUACACAUGUUAGUAAACAAAUGGUGAAACUUCUGUGUGACCCACCCACUUCUAUUUUCCCCCAAAAAACCUAGCAGCUGGAUUUUGAACAGAAUAUCGCUGCAUUAUUCACAAUUACACACUAUGGAAGCAGCCUAAUUCAAUGGAUGAAUGGAUAAAGAAAAAGGGUAGAUAACGAGAGAUUACUGUUCAGCCUGUGAAAAGAAGAAAAUCACACAUUUGGGGCAGUAUGCAUGAGCCUAGAGGAUAUCAUGCUAAGUGAAAGAUGUUAUUUCAUUUCCACGUGAAGUCUUAAAGUGUGCAAUUCAAGAGACUGGGACACAGUCGUGGUCACCAAGAGACGAGAAAUGAGGGAAAGAGAAAGGAAGGAAAAAGAAGAAAAGGAAACGAUAAUCAAACGAGGUGAUACAUAUGCUAAUGAGCUCGAAGGGGUGGUUAUUUCACAUCAAACAUAGAACUUUUACAUCAGUCAUGAUUCAACAAAAUGAAAGAAGCCUUUGACUUAAGUGUACUAUAUUUAGUAAUAAAAACUGAGGAUGACAAGUUAAAUUUGAAUCUCAGACAGACAACCAAUAUAUCUUAGUGUAUGUAUGUCUUCUGCAAUGUUUGGAAUAUACUUGUACUUUAUAGUAUGUAUAAAAUUCAAACUUAACAGGGUAUUAUGUUAACUGGCAACCAGUCCUACUUUAUCUGAAAUUCUGCUUGCUAUGUGAAGCCACACCUGGUAACAACAGUGAUAACCUUUACUGAGUGCUUACUGAGCACCCAAAUAUUUGCUAGACAUUUUGCAUGCUCCUGGUUUGAUACCUAAAAUAAAUGUAGCCCCCUUUUCCUCUAUGUUUUCUUAGAUCAGGUAUCACUUGUGGCAUUUAUCAGUGUAUGGGGCAUUAUCUGUCUCUUCCACUAGAUCAGAAACCUAAAAGUUGAAAUAUUUUACUUGUUUUUAUAAUCUCUGCAAAAGUUACAGCUUCUCAUUGAACACGCUAUCAUGAGUACCAUCCUCUGUUGCAAACGGAGCAUCUCGGGCAUUUGAAGCUUGCCACAGACAGAACAAAGCUCUCAUCGAGGCCAUGUCUAUCUACUCUGAGGCAGGUUCCUCAGCUUUCUAAAGAUGGCUUCAGAGCUACUGAGAUUCCAGAUAGCAGCAAUUCCUAGGGAAGCUGUAUUUUGAGACAGGUUCUCACUGUGUGGCUGAGGUACAGGCUGCUCUUGAAUUUAGGAUCCGCCUGCCUUAACCUUCUUAAAUUGGAAACUAUGGAAUUGCUGCUUUACAUCACUGCUGGCUUUUGGUCAUAUUCAUUCCAACCCUCCCCCCCCAACUCAGAUUAUCAGAUUCAAAGCCAUGAGGAUUAUUCAUCUUCCCAGCAAGAAUCAACUCAAAUUUGUCAUUGUUGUUGGAACAAUUUUCUACAUUCUCUCAUGUCAUGUGACCCUCACCACAGCUUUGCAAUACAAACAAAACAAACACGAAGAAAGAUAUCUCCAGUCCGAAGUCUCCUCAAUGUUAGCUCUCUUCUUUUUUCUUGUGACAGUUUAACUAUGUGUCCUGGAUAAUUCCAGAGUGGAAUCUGCCCUGCCAUGUUUAUUUAAGGAGAGUCAACAUUCAGACUUAUGGAGUCCCCUCCACUUGCCAGUAAGAGAAACUCUAGUGUUGACCUGCUAGGUAGGAGCGAGUGCCAAAGACCCGGUGUCUAGCUUUGAGAGACGCAACAGUGACCCAGUUAGAUUUGAGUGAAUGCCGUAAGCCUGACCUUAACUCGAUCUCUGCCUUCGGUGCUUCCCAGUGAAACUAAAGUGAACAAGUUUUACUCUGUGCCAGCAGCCUUCCCAGAAGGCUGUACUGAUAGCUCCAACGAGUGGGUCUGUGACAUUUCACAACGAUCCAAUCAUGGCUGCAGUGCCAUUGAACCAAAGCUUGUGCUCACAAAGCCAGUAAGUAUUCAUUUGUAUUUAGCCUGUUUUUCACCCCUUCUUAAAGGAAAUAACAAUCAACAGGCCUCUGCGGUAUAAAUCAUGCUGGAGCGUGGUUAUGAGCUGCGUUCAUUCUGUGGAAUAGACUAAUUCAGUGACAGUGCUCUCCCUCAAAAGAAUCUGCAGAACUUUGCCUUCCCCCAAAUCAAGAUCAUCAAGGCUAUGUUCUCAGACCACACUAAAUUUUGGCAUUUAAAUACUAAAUUUGUAAAUUAAAUUUAAAAUAUUUGAAAAAUUCUAAGUUUGGAAGUAAAUACCAUCCACAUUAUAACUCUUGGACUCAAAGAGGGAAAUUAUAAAGAUUUCAAGUUGGAGAAAGGUCUCCAAAUAACAACAAAGUUACCGGACAAGGGGUGUAGCUGAUGGGUUGAGCUUUCUUAGAAUAGAUGAGGUGCUGGGCUGAAUGUUCAUACCACCAGAUAGAAAAGAGGAAGAGAAGGGGCAUGGGGAAGAAAGAAGAAAGUAACAGAAAUGAAGAUUUCAGAGACUCUCAAACUGUUUGUGAAGAAGAACCAUUUCUUAUUAAAGUUCUACUCAGUUAUAGAUGUAUUAUAAAAUCCAGUAAGAUUAAAAACAAAACUACAUGAAACA